GCUGCCAUACUCUCUCGGCCGUGACUCCGACAUGAAAAAUGCAGCUCCGGGCUCUCCACCUGUGUCACCUUCUUCUUACCUGAACUCACCUGUUCUCUUUCUUCACCUUCUUCUUAUUGUGCUUCUCUAACCUGCUGCUGCGGCCUCAAGGUCCUGGUGGGCGCCAUGCUGUUGAACUCUGACCUCGUGUUAGGUGCACGGAUGGCCACAACCUGUCGGGAUAGGCCUUUUGGCGCUCGCUGGAUGUAACAGCAACUCCAUGUGGAAGCGGCAUCAAGUUCCAGUGGAGGUGCUGUUACUUGCAGAGAAUGGCCACCGGCUGCAAGAAAAGUGUGAUGCUGCCAUAGCUUGGUGGAAACGUUCGUUGGCCAAAAGGAGUUAUGGGGCGCAAGGCGAUGACCUAUGAAUUGACAGCCAGUGAUUGCAAUGUCUGCCUGUCAUUUUUGUAGGCCACUGCUGUUUGUCCUUCAGAACAUAUGGAAAGUCGUUGCAUGCCAUGUAAAUACGGUUCACCAUUUUCCUCUUUAUGAAUCGUACUCCGAAUAAAGUCCAACAUAGCAUUUGA